UGGGGAAUCUUGCGCAAUGGGCGAAAGCCUGACGCAGCGACGCCGCGUGCGGGAUGAAGGCCUUCGGGUUGUAAACCGCUUUCAGCAGGGACGAAGCGAAAGUGACGGUACCUGCAGAAGAAGCCCCGGCUAACUACGUGCCAGCAGCCGCGGUAAGACGUAGGGGGCGAGCGUUGUCCGGAAUCAUUGGGCGUAAAGCGCGCGCAGGCGGCUCGGUAAGUCGGUUGUGAAAACCCGUGGCUCAACCACGGGCCUGCGACCGAUACUGCCGAGCUAGAGGCAGGUAGGGGAGAUCGGAAUUCCUGGUGUAGCGGUGAAAUGCGCAGAUAUCAGGAGGAACACCGGUGGCGAAGGCGGAUCUCUGGGCCUGUCCUGACGCUCAGGCGCGAAAGCUAGGGGAGCAAACAGG
rnacentral:rRNA from 1 species